rnacentral:tRNA from 2 species
GCUGAUGUGGCUCAGUAGGUAGAGCAGCUCACUCGUAAUGAGCAGGUCGCCGGUUCGAAUCCGGCCAUCAGCUCCA